rnacentral:rRNA from 1 species
GGAUUAGAUACCCUGGUAGUCCACGCUGUAAACGAUGAAUACUAGGUGUAGGGGGUAUCGACCCCUUCUGUGCCGCAGCAAACGCAAUAAGUAUUCCGCCUGGGGAGUACGACCGCAAGGUUGAAACUCAAAGGAAUUGACGGGGACCCGCACAAGCAGCGGAGCAUGUGGAUUGAUUCGACGCAACGCGAAGAACCUUACCAGGACUUGACAUCCUCAGAAUCUCCCAGAAACGGGAGAGUGCCUUCGGGAACUGAGAGACAGGUGGUGCAUGGUUGUCGUCAGCUCGUGCCG